rnacentral:tRNA from 2 species
GGACAGAUGGCCGAGUGGUCUAAGGCGCCGUCUUAAGGAGCUCGCCCGGACGUCGCUGGCGUUCAGGUGGUAGUCCGGCGGUCUUCGGGCGUGGGUUCGAAUCCCACUCUGUUCA